rnacentral:lncRNA from 1 species
UUUUCUCAACCCAUGACCUUGUAACUAUCUUACCCUGUUCAGAGUAUGUGAGGAUUGAUUUCAUCUCUACGUUUCUAUCUAAGUUUGGGGUUGCUGUUGGAAUAACAACCUUUAAGUUUGGGGUAGCUUUGCAGUAAGUGAAUGUAGUCUAAAAAAAAAUAAAAAAAUAAAAAAAUAAAAAAAUAAAAAAAUAAAAAAAUAAAAAAAUAAAAAAAUAAAAACAACAACAACAUGAAAAGAAAGAAAGAAAAAAGCGAAAAACAAUAAAAGAACAGCUUUUGAAAAAUGCUACAUUCACUAUAGAAAAAAAAGGAAAAGAGGAUUACAAAACCCUACAGGAAUAAUAGGAAAGAAACGUAGUGAGAGAACGAUUUCAUAUACUCUGAACCAAAAACCUUUGUUCAAAUUUCACACCCCACCUAAACCAAAGCCCCGUUACAACCCAAAAGACCUCAAAAAGUGUGUGUGAUUGUACAUGUUGAUAGGAUGAGAGAAUUUAUUCAAACUUCUGAUUUGAUAUUGCAUAUUGUGAUUUGAGAGUGAUAACAUUUUAAC